UGCCAGCAGCCGCGGUAAUACGUGGGGAGCAAGCGUUGUUCGGAUUUACUGGGCGUAAAGAGCUCGUAGGCGGACAUGUAAGUCGGAUGUGAAAUCCUUUGGCUCAACCAGAGAACUGCACCCGAAACUGCAUGUCUUGAGUUCAACAGAGGGAAUCGGAAUCGGUUGUGUAGCGGUGAAAUGCGUAGAGAUAACCGAGAACACCAGUGGCGAAGGCGGCUUUCUGGACCGAUACUGACGCUGAGACGCGAAAGCGUGGGGAGCAAACAGGAUUAGAUA
rnacentral:rRNA from 1 species